CGGCGAUGUCCGAAUGGGGAAACCCAGUGCAAUUCGUUGCACUAUCGUUAACUGAAUACAUAGGUUAACGAGGCGAACCGGGGGAACUGAAACAUCUAAGUACCCCGAGGAAAAGAAAUCAACCGAGAUUCCCCCAGUAGCGGCGAGCGAACGGGGAGCAGCCCAGAGUCUGAAUCAGCUUGUGUGUUAGUGGAACGGUCUGGAAAGUCCGACGGUACAGGGUGAUAGUCCCGUACACCAAAAUGCACAGGUUGUGAACUCGAAGAGUAGGGCGGGACACGUGGUAUCCUGUCUGAAUAUGGGGGGACCAUCCUCCAAGGCUAAAUACUCCUGACUGACCGAUAGUGAACCAGUACCGUGAGGGAAAGGCGAAAAGAACCCCGGCGAGGGGAGUGAAAAAGAACCUGAAACCGUGUACGUACAAGCAGUGGGAGCACCUUCGGGUGUGACUGCGUACCUUUUGUAUAAUGGGUCAGCGACUUAUAUUCUGUAGCAAGGUUAACCGUAUAGGGGAGCCGCAGGGAAACCGAGUCUUAACUGGGCGUUAAGUUGCAGGGUAUAGACCCGAAACCCGGUGAUCUAGCCAUGGGCAGGUUGAAGGUUGGGUAACACUAACUGGAGGACCGAACCGACUAAUGUUGAAAAAUUAGCGGAUGACUUGUGGCUGGGGGUGAAAGGCCAAUCAAACCGGGAGAUAGCUGGUUCUCCCCGAAAGCUAUUUAGGUAGCGCCUCGUGAAUUCAUCUUCGGGGGUAGAGCACUGUUUCGGCUAGGGGGUCAUCCCGACUUACCAACCCGAUGCAAACUACGAAUACCGAAGAAUGUUAUCACGGGAGACACACGGCGGGUGCUAACGUCCGUCGUGAAGAGGGAAACAACCCAGACCGCCAGCUAAGGUCCCAAAGUCAUGGUUAAGUGGGAAACGAUGUGGGAAGGCACAGACAGCCAGGAUGUUGGCUUAGAAGCAGCCAUCAUUUAAAGAAAGCGUAAUAGCUCACUGGUCGAGUCGGCCUGCGCGGAAGAUGUAACGGGGCUAAACCAUGCACCGAAGCUGCGGCAGCGACACUAUGUGUUGUUGGGUAGGGGAGCGUUCUGUAAGCCUGCGAAGGUGACCUGUGAGGGUUGCUGGAGGUAUCAGAAGUGCGAAUGCUGACAUAAGUAACGAUAAAGCGGGUGAAAAGCCCGCUCGCCGGAAGACCAAGGGUUCCUGUCCAACGUUAAUCGGGGCAGGGUGAGUCGACCCCUAAGGCGAGGCCGAAAGGCGUAGUCGAUGGGAAACAGGUUAAUAUUCCUGUACUUGGUGUUACUGCGAAGGGGGGACGGAGAAGGCUAUGUUAGCCGGGCGACGGUUGUCCCGGUUUAAGCAUGUAGGCUGAUUGUCCAGGCAAAUCCGGAUAAUCAAGGCUGAGGUGUGAUGACGAGGCACUACGGUGCUGAAGUAACAAAUGCCCUGCUUCCAGGAAAAGCCUCUAAGCAUCAGGUAACAUCAAAUCGUACCCCAAACCGACACAGGUGGUCAGGUAGAGAAUACCAAGGCGCUUGAGAGAACUCGGGUGAAGGAACUAGGCAAAAUGGUGCCGUAACUUCGGGAGAAGGCACGCUGGUGUGUAGGUGAAGUCCCUGCGGAUGGAGCUGAGACCAGUCGAAGAUACCAGCUGGCUGCAACUGUUUAUUAAAAACACAGCACUGUGCAAACACGAAAGUGGACGUAUACGGUGUGACGCCUGCCCGGUGCCGGAAGGUUAAUUGAUGGGGUUAUCCGUAAGGAGAAGCUCUUGAUCGAAGCCCCGGUAAACGGCGGCCGUAACUAUAACGGUCCUAAGGUAGCGAAAUUCCUUGUCGGGUAAGUUCCGACCUGCACGAAUGGCGUAAUGAUGGCCAGGCUGUCUCCACCCGAGACUCAGUGAAAUUGAACUCGCUGUGAAGAUGCAGUGUACCCGCGGCAAGACGGAAAGACCCCGUGAACCUUUACUAUAGCUUGACACUGAACAUUGAGCCUUGAUGUGUAGGAUAGGUGGGAGGCUUUGAAGCGUGGACGCCAGUCUGCGUGGAGCCAACCUUGAAAUACCACCCUUUAAUGUUUGAUGUUCUAACGUUGGCCCCUUACCGGGGUUGCGGACAGUGUCUGGUGGGUAGUUUGACUGGGGCGGUCUCCUCCCAAAGCGUAACGGAGGAGCACGAAGGUUAGCUAAUCCUGGUCGGACAUCAGGAGGUUAGUGCAAUGGCAUAAGCUAGCUUGACUGCGAGCGUGACGGCGCGAGCAGGUGCGAAAGCAGGUCAUAGUGAUCCGGUGGUUCUGAAUGGAAGGGCCAUCGCUCAACGGAUAAAAGGUACUCCGGGGAUAACAGGCUGAUACCGCCCAAGAGUUCAUAUCGACGGCGGUGUUUGGCACCUCGAUGUCGGCUCAUCACAUCCUGGGGCUGAAGUAGGUCCCAAGGGUAUGGCUGUUCGCCAUUUAAAGUGGUACGCGAGCUGGGUUUAGAACGUCGUGAGACAGUUCGGUCCCUAUCUGCCGUGGGCGCUGGAGAAUUGAGGGGGGCUGCUCCUAGUACGAGAGGACCGGAGUGGACGCAUCACUGGUGUUCGGGUUGUCAUGCCAAUGGCACUGCCCGGUAGCUAAAUGCGGAAGAGAUAAGUGCUGAAAGCAUCUAAGCACGAAACUUGCCCCGAGAUGAGUUCUCCCUGAGACUUUAAGUCUCCUGAAGGAACGUU
rnacentral:rRNA from 1 species